UAUAAUGCAGUCGACGACUCUGGUAUUGAUUGGUGCUUGCAUCAUGAUUUACAUUUGAGUGAGUGGCGAACUGGUGAGUAACACGUGGGAAACCUGCCCAGAAGCGGGGGAUAACACCUGGAAACAGAUGCUAAUACCGCAUAACAACUUGGACCGCAUGGUCCGAGUUUGAAAGAUGGCUUCGGCUAUCACUUUUGGAUGGUCCCGCGGCGUAUUAGCUAGAUGGUGGGGUAACGGCUCACCAUGGCAAUGAUACGUAGCCGACCUGAGAGGGUAAUCGGCCACAUUGGGACUGAGACACGGCCCAAACUCCUACGGGAGGCAGCAGUAGGGAAUCUUCCACAAUGGACGAAAGUCUGAUGGAGCAACGCCGCGUGAGUGAAGAAGGGUUUCGGCUCGUAAAACUCUGUUGUUAAAGAAGAACAUAUCUGAGAGUAACUGUUCAGGUAUUGACGGUAUUUAACCAGAAAGCCACGGCUAACUACGUGCCAGCAGCCGCGGUAAUACGUAGGUGGCAAGCGUUGUCCGGAUUUAUUGGGCGUAAAGCGAGCGCAGGCGGUUUUUUAAGUCUGAUGUGAAAGCCUUCGGCUCAACCGAAGAAGUGCAUCGGAAACUGGGAAACUUGAGUGCAGAAGAGGACAGUGGAACUCCAUGUGUAGCGGUGAAAUGCGUAGAUAUAUGGAAGAACACCAGUGGCGAACGCGGCUGUCUGGUCUGUAACUGACGCUGAGGCUCGAAAGUAUGGGUAGCAACAGGAUUAGAUACCCUGGUAGUCCAUACCGUAACGAUGAUGCUAGUGUGAGGUUUCGCCCUCAGUGCUGCAGCUACGCAUAGCAUC
rnacentral:rRNA from 2 species